rnacentral:rRNA from 1 species
ACGAACGCUGGCGGCGCGCCUAACCCAUGCAAGUCGAACGAGCGAGAGAGAGCUUGCUUUCUUGAGCGAGUGGCGAACGGGUGAGUAACGCGUGAGGAACCUGCCUCAAAGAGGGGGACAACAGUUGGAAACGACUGCUAAUACCGCAUAAGCCCACGACCCGGCAUCGGGUUGAGGGAAAAGGAGCAAUCCGCUUUGAGAUGGCCUCGCGUCCGAUUAGCUAGUUGGUGAGGUAACGGCCCACCAAGGCGACGAUCGGUAGCCGGACUGAGAGGUUGAACGGCCACAUUGGGACUGAGACACGGCCCAGACUCCUACGGGAGGCAGCAGUGGGGAAUAUUGCACAAUGGGGGAAACCCUGAUGCAGCGACGCCGCGUGGAGGAAGAAGGUCUUCGGAUUGUAAACUCCUGUUGUUGAGGAAGAUAAUGACGGUACUCAACAAGGAAGUGACGGCUAACUACGUG